GUGGGGAAUCUUGCGCAAUGGGCGACAGCCUGACGCAGCAACGCCGCGUGGGGGAAGAAGGCCUUCGGGUUGUAAACCUCUUUCAGGUGGGACGAAGCUUCGCCGGUGAAUAGCCGUGCGGAGUGACGGUACCGCCACAAGCAGCCCCGGCUAACUACGUGCCAGCAGCCGCGGUAACACGUAGGGGGCAAGCGUUGUCCGGAAUCAUUGGGCGUAAAGCGCGCGUAGGCGGCCAGAUAAGUCCGGUGUGAAAGUCAAAGGCUCAACCUUUGAAUGCCGCUGGAAACUGUCUGGCUAGAGUCCGGAAGGGGCGAGUGGAACUCCUGGUGUAGCGGUGAAAUGCGCAGAUAUCAGGAAGAACACCUAUGGCGAAGGCAGCUCGCUGGGACGGUACUGACGCUGAGGCGCGAAAGCGUGGGGAGCAAACAGGAUUAGAAACCCGAGUAGUCC
rnacentral:rRNA from 1 species